GCCAAUCAAAGAGCUGGGAGGUGUAACAUGAGGCGUGAUGUCAGGGUGACCAGUGCCAAGCAGGUGUGGACAAGAAGGUUGGAGCAGUGAGUGAGAGAGGCCAUGGCGGUCAAAGUGUCUGCCACAUCCUUCUCCCGUCUCUGUGCGUCCAAUAGAGACUGGCCCACUGUAGGAGCCAACCUCUGCAGAGACGCCCAGUGCUUACCUACACAUUUAAAGAGAGAGAGUUUGGAACUGAGGCUGCUGCUUUUGGACAUGGUUUCUGUUGAAGGACAGUCAGUGGUAGAGGAUCCAACUGCAAAAGACACAAAAAUAACACUCAUAACACAACUGAUCACAGAUUAUCUGCAAUUAUCAACACUUUACUGAAAUUAUCUUCCAGACAGAAGAUGAGAAUUCAAAUUACGCAAUGCAGCCACACAGGACUCGGAUGCGUCACAAAUGGCAGUGAGGUCGUGACCUCCCUCCAGUGCCAAAACCACACGGCCGCCAGCCAACUUCAUCAGCUGCUUAGUGAGAUGGCCGAAACCUACACAAAGAGCAAAAAUGCUGUGUAAUUCAUCAACUAUAAACAAACUGACGGCCUGAUUAUUUGACCCUGUAACCCAGUCUGCUGGUACAGAAAAUCACAGUAAAACAACUUACAUUUGGCGGUGACGUUGUAUCCACCCAGGGGAGACUGGUGGCCCUCCACAGCAUCAAAGCCCGCGGACACAAGCACCACAUCUGGGGAG